rnacentral:rRNA from 1 species
GGGUUAGUAGGUUGGUCAUGCCUCUGGUAUGCACUGGUCUCACUGAUUCCUCCUUACUGAUGAGCCGUAAUGCCAUUAAUUUGGUGUUGCGGGGAAUUUGGACUGUUACUUUGAAAAAAUUAGAGUGUUUAAAGCAAGCUAACGCUUGAAUACAUUAGCAUGGAAUAAUGAAAUAGGACGUUCGAUCCUAUUUUGUUGGUUUGAGAAACGAAGUA